GACGUAGGGGGCGAGCGUUGUCCGGAUUUAUUGGGCGUAAAGCGCACGUAGGCGGAUUGUUAAGUCAGGGGUGAAAUCCUGGAGCUCAACUCCAGAACUGCCUUUGAUACUGGCGAUCUUGAGUCCGGGAGAGGUGAGUGGAACUGCGAGUGUAGAGGUGAAAUUCGUAGAUAUUCGCAAGAACACCAGUGGCGAAGGCGGCUCACUGGUCCAUUACUGACGCUGAGGUGCGAAAGCGUGGGGAGCAAACAGGG
rnacentral:rRNA from 1 species